AAAAAAACAAACCCUAAAUUUUUGUGUCCAACGUUUGACUGUCCGUCUUAUAUGAGUUUUUUUAUAAUUAGUAUUUUCAUUGUUGUUAGAUGAUAAAACAUGAUUAAUACUUUAUGCAUGACUUGUCUUUUUACUUUUUUAUAUUUUUUUUAAAUAAGACGGACGGUCAAAUGUUGAACACGGAAAG
rnacentral:pre_miRNA from 1 species